UGUGUCGGCGCUGGAGGUUGUGUCCUUCCUGGGGAAACUGCUGUGCGCAGUCGCGGCGCUGAAGGCGGCUCUCUACCUGCUCCGCAGAGUCUGUCUAGCGAUGGCCUGGAAGUCAGGAGGCGCCAGUCACUCGGAGCUCAUCCAGAACCUCCGCAAAAAUGGAAUAAUCAAAUCAGAUAAAGUAUUUGAAGUCAUGCUUGCAACAGACCGAAGCCACUAUGCAAAAUGCAACCCAUAUAUGGAUUCCCCUCAGUCAAUAGGAUUUCAAGCAACUAUAAGUGCUCCACAUAUGCAUGCGUAUGCUCUAGAACUACUAUAUGAACAGUUACACGAAGGAGCCAAAGCCCUUGACGUAGGAUCUGGAAGUGGUAUUCUUACUGCAUGCUUUGCACGGAUGGUUGGCUCCAAAGGAAAAGUUGUAGGAAUUGAUCAUAUCAAAGAGCUAGUAGAUGACUCAAUAAAUAAUGUCAAAAAGGACGAUCCUCUAUUGCUGUCUUCAGGAAGAGUGAAACUGAUUGUGGGGGAUGGGAGACUGGGAUAUCCAGAUGAGGCUCCAUAUGAUGCUAUUCAUGUAGGCGCUGCUGCACCCAUUGUGCCACAAGCACUUAUAGAUCAAUUAAAGCCUGGUGGAAGAUUAAUAUUACCUGUGGGCCCUGCUGGAGGAAACCAGAUGCUGGAGCAGUAUGAUAAGCUAGAAGAUGGCAGUGUCAAAAUGAAGCCUCUGAUGGGAGUGAUAUAUGUGCCUUUAACAGAUAAGGAGAAGCAGUGGUCCAGCCUUUUGUGCAGGUACCAAGAGUAAUUGGACCAUAAUCACAAAUGAAUCUCUACAGUAGAUGAUCUACAGAGAGCUAAGGCAUUCACUACUUCAGAUAAAAAGGGAUGAAAUGUAAAAGCUACAUCAUCUGACCCAAAUAUAGUGUUAACAGUGGACUGCUCAUCUCCAGUUCUUAAAAGCUUUUUCAAAACCAACAGCAUUGCAGCUUGUUUUGGACUUUGUUACACUGUUAUCAGCAUGGAAAAGUGUGGUAUUUUUAUUUUGUAGAAGUUUAAUGCAAGUUUGAUAAUGAACUGAUGGAAAAUUCAUAUUUGGGUAAAUGUUGCUUUUCAACAUGCCCAAGUGAAAUAUGUCUACAGAAAUGCAGAUAAAUCUGCAAUUUAUCACUUUCUUUUAUUUUUGGAUUUGGAUUAGGAAACUUUUUGAACACUUAUUUCAGCUCCAGUGUUCAUCCAUCAAACUGCUUAUCUGCACUUUCUGACACUACAUGCACACUAUAAGGUUCUUUGUGUUCAGCUGUCUUCUAGAUGCUACUAAAAUGAGAUGAAGUUCUUCAAAGCUGUCAACGUGGUGUCAUAGACUAGCAUGUAGUAUAUACAAUCAGCUGCUUUCUUCCCUUUUAAAAAUCAGGCAUCGUGUAUAUAAAUUUCAAGACAUCAGAAGUUACAGCUCUUGUUGUACAUGCUGCUGUUCAGGAUGGACAUAACGGACAUAGUUCUCUCUCUCACACACUUUCUUUGUUGAAUAACAUAGAGAUUCAUAGUUGAAUAUUGUUUCUAGCUGACUUGCAAACUUGAUGUACCUAAACUUAAUAUAACAAAUACUGUGUAAGCUAUGUCCUAAUCAUUGAACAGUUAUGCAGUGCUGCUUUGCCAAAUAAAAUUAAAAAUAAAA